GAGGGCUUAACUGUCUCCCUUUUCCAGUCAAUGAAAUUGAUCUCCCCGUGCAGAAGCGGGGAUUAAAACAUAAGACGAGAAGACCCUAUGGAGCUUUAGACAAAGAGCAGACCAUGUUAAACACACCUAAAUAAAGGACAAAACCAAUUGGCCCCUGCCCUUAUGUCUUUGGUUGGGGCGACCGCGGGGAAACAAAAAACCCCCAUGUGGACUGAAGACAUUCCUCUUCACAACCAAGAGCCACAGCUCUAAGCAACAGAACAUCUGACCAACAAGAUCCGGCACUAAGCCGAUCAACGGACCGAGUUACCCUAGGGAUAACAGCGCAAUCUCCUUUUAGAGCCCCCAUCGACAAGGAGGUUUACGACCUCGAUGUUGGAUCAGGACAUCCUAAUGGUGCAGCCGCUAUUAAGGGUUCGUUUGUUCAACGAUUAAAGUCCUACGUGAUCUGAGUUCCAAACCGGGAGA
rnacentral:rRNA from 1 species